rfam:Pyrococcus furiosus DSM 3638, complete genome.
GCCCCCGGGAAACCGCGGCGGGGGAGCGAGCGGCGAGCUGUGAGCCCGCUUCGCUCCCCGGGGGUACA